rnacentral:rRNA from 1 species
UGCCAGCAGCCGCGGUAAUACGUAGGGUCCGAGCGUUGUCCGGAAUUACUGGGCUUAAAGGGUACGUAGGCGGUUUUAUAAGUCAGUGGUGAAAGCUAGCAGCUCAACUGUUAAUGUGCCAUUGAUACUGUAAAACUUGAGUAUAGUCGAGGUGGGUGGAAUUCUACAUGUAGCGGUGAAAUGCAGAGAUAUGUAGAGGAACUCCAAUAACGAAGGUAACGCACUAGGCUAUUACUGACGCUGAGGUACGACAGCGUGGGGAGCGAACAGGAUUAGAUC